UUCCGUAGGGUGAACCUGCGGAAGGAUCAUUACCGAGUGUAGGGUUCCUAGCGAGCCCAACCUCCCACCCGUGUUUACUGUACCUUAGUUGCUUCGGCGGGCCCGCCAUUCAUGGCCGCCGGGGGCUCUCAGCCCCGGGCCCGCGCCCGCCGGAGACACCACGAACUCUGUCUGAUCUAGUGAAGUCUGAGUUGAUUGUAUCGCAAUCAGUUAAAACUUUCAACAAUGGAUCUCUUGGUUCCGGCAUCGAUGAAGAACGCAGCGAAAUGCGAUAACUAGUGUGAAUUGCAGAAUUCCGUGAAUCAUCGAGUCUUUGAACGCACAUUGCGCCCCCUGGUAUUCCGGGGGGCAUGCCUGUCCGAGCGUCAUUGCUGCCCAUCAAGCACGGCUUGUGUGUUGGGUCGUCGUCCCCUCUCCGGGGGGGACGGGCCCCAAAGGCAGCGGCGGCACCGCGUCCGAUCCUCGAGCGUAUGGGGCUUUGUCACCCGCUCUGUAGGCCCGGCCGGCGCUUGCCGAACGCAAAUCAAUCUUUCCAGGUGACCUCGGA
rnacentral:rRNA from 1 species